GGGCGUAAAGCGCGUGUAGGCGGUUUCUUAAGUCUGAUGUGAAAGCCCCGGGCUCAACCCGGGAAGUGCAUUGGAUACUGGGAGACUUGAAUACGGGAGAGGGUAGUGGAAUUCCUAGUGUAGGAGUGAAAUCCGUAGAUAUUAGGAGGAACACCGGUGGCGAAGGCGGCUACCUGGACCGAUAUUGACGCUGAGACGCGAAAGCGUGGGGAGCAAACAGGAUUAGAUACCCUGGUAGUCCACGCCGUAAACGAUGAGAACUAGGUGU
rnacentral:rRNA from 1 species